rnacentral:rRNA from 1 species
AGUGAACGCUGGCGGUAGGCCUAACACAUGCAAGUCGAACGGCAGCACAGUAAGAGCUUGCUCUUACGGGUGGCGAGUGGCGGACGGGUGAGGAAUACAUCGGAAUCUACUUUUUCGUGGGGGAUAACGUAGGGAAACUUACGCUAAUACCGCGUACGACCUACGGGUGAAAGCAGGGGAUCUUCGGACCUUGCGCGAUUGAAUGAGCCGAUGUCGGAUUAGCUAGUUGGCGGGGUAAAGGCCCACCAAGGCGACGAUCCGUGGCUGGUCUGAGAGGAUGAUCAGCCACACUGGAACUGAGACACGGUCCAGACUCCUACGGGAGGCAGCAGUGGGGAAUAUUGGACAAUGGGCGCAAGCCUGAUCCAGCCAUACCGCGUGGGUGAAGAAGGCCUUCGGGUUGUAAAGCCCUUUUGUUGGGAAAGAAAAGCAGCAGGUUAAUACCCCGCUGUUCUGACGGUACCCAAAGAAUAAGCACCGGCUAACUUCGUG